AUUGAACGCUGGCGGCAGGCUUAACACAUGCAAGUCGAACGAGUGGCGGACGGGUGAGUAAUGCUUGGGAAUCUAGCUUAUGGUGGGGGAUAACUACGGGAAACUGUAGCUAAUACCGCGUACCAUAGUAUGAGCCCAAGUGGGAUUAGGUAGUUGGUGAGGUAAAGGCUCACCAAGCCGACGAUCUCUAGCUGGUCUGAUAGGAUGACCAGCAACACUGGGACGGAGACACGGCCCAUACUCCUACGGGAGGCGGCAGUGGGGAAUAUUGCGCAAUGGGGGCAACCUGAGGCAGCCAUGCCGCGUGAAUGAAGAAGGCCUUCGGGUUGUAAAGUUCUGUCGGUAGCGAGGCGUUAGCUACAGAGGAAGCACCGGCUAACUCCGAGCCAGCAGCCAAAGUAGUUC
rnacentral:rRNA from 1 species